rnacentral:rRNA from 1 species
GUCUAUGCCUGUGGAGUAGUAAGAAAUUUGCUGUUGUCAGGCCUGGUUAGUACUUGGAUGGGUGACCACUUAGGAAGACCAGGUGCUGUAGGCA